rnacentral:snRNA from 1 species
GUUUUUUUGAAGAUAUCUAAUAAAAUUGGAAUAAUACGGAGAAGAUUAGCAUGGUGGCCUAUGUCAGGAAUGACACGCACAAAUUAAAGAGUGUUUCUUCUUUA